ensembl:lncRNA
CCCUCACUCACUCCCUCCCACACUCACUCCCUCCCACACUCCGUCACUCCCUCUAAAUGUGUCUUCGUGUCUUCCUCCCUCCCUCCCUGUCUCUACCUCUCUGUAUCUCCCUCUCCCUCUCUCUCCCAUGCAGACAAGCCUCUGAACCUCCUGUCAGACUUCCAGCCCAUCAGAGUGACAGAGCGCCAGACUGUCAUUCUUGAAGUGAGCGUCUCUCAGAAGUCUGAAACACCUCCUGUCUGGAUGGUGUUUGAACCAUUUGAACCAAACACUUUAGUGUUUUAAACCAGGCAGAGGAAGAAAGAUUCAGGUUGUUAUCCCCGCUGAUGCCAAAUAACCCCUCUGGGAUUAGUUAAGUACUAUUCUUAUCUUAAUUGAAUAGUCUGGGCAUGUACAAACGAAUAGAAUGCCAAAACGAGGACUCAGUCACAGCUGGGAUUCACAAGUUCAGUGUCAGGAGCUACGUUUCAUCAUUAUCUGGAAUAACAUCAACGGAUGCACGUUGUACUGGUGCAGUCUCCAUUCAUGUUGUACCUUUUGACUGAAAUAUACCAAAUAUAUUCGGCACAUCGCAACAGAUCCAUUUUAUUGAGAUUAAUACGACAAAUGACAAAUAAAAAGGGGUUUAUUUCCUUUUAAGGACUUCUACCUAGCACACAGGUUGCAUGCUUUCAUGAGGUGUGAAACCCAGCCUUCACCUCCAUCCAAGAUGUCCUGUUGAAUAAACCGAGGGGUCCCUCAAGCCUUGGUUUGUUUGUGACGCAGCAGGUGACGGGUGAGGAGAGACGAGGAGUUGGAGCCGUCCCUCUCGGAGGACGGGCUGACCUACACACUGGAGAUCAGAGACGUGAAGGCCAGGGAAGCGGGGGGCUACGACAUCAGCGUGGGAGACCUGAGGGCCACCAGAACCCUCCUCGUAGGCCGUAAGAGCCACCGCGAAACGACAUCGAUCGAACAUGACCCGAGGUUGGCUGUGCAGAUAUCCAUCAGCAUGUUUAUUGAUCGCUGCGUUGCUCUGCAGAGCGCUUCUUCGCAGUGAAGAGCGACAUGUCGGAUGUUUUGUGUCCCACGGGCGCCCCUGCUGAGCUCUGCGUUGCCCUGGACGACGAGAAGGUGGACAGAGCGUGGUUUAAAUACGGAGUCGAGGUGAGAACAGGAUCACAAAGGGACCUCAGUAAAGGAGCCCUCCUCUUUUAGACGUAAAGAUGUUUGUGUUGCGAUGCCCUUUUGAACUACAUACACUGGUGAAUAACUACAUACUGAUCCAUGCACAUUAAUUCCAUAAUACGAAAAUCGAAAAAUUGUUUAUAGCACUUUUUACAAAUUAUAUUUGUAAAUAAACGACCAAAUUUCUAAAUGCAGUGAUUUUUUUGUGUGUGGUAACAGAAGCUGAACACCAGGGGUCAGAGUUGUUUCUGAAUCUGCUUGUGGAGUACAGAAUGGGAGAUAGCGGGAAGGUGUGAGUCAUUCUGUAGGGUAUCGCUCACUGUCAUUAUAAGUGACUAACCAAAUUAAUCACAGCCUAUUUCCUUUUAUGAUCACUCGGAUCAGAUCGUCUGUCUGUCAAUAUAUGUGUGCCAAUCUCUAUGACGUUCUUCUGUCUGUCUUUCACCACCUGGUUUGGAGCUUGCAUAAUUUCAUGAGAUCACUUCCGUUUAGGAUUGUCUGCUCCACAUCCUUCCUUCCUUCCUUCCUUCCUUCCUUCCUUCCUUCCUUCCUUCCUUCCUUCCUUCCUUCCUUUGUCCUUGUUUAGAGCGCUGAUCAGUUAAUCUCAGUGUGAAAGAGAGGACCUUUGAGGGCUCACACUUGGCUUCCAAUGAAUGAAACGCAUUGGGACAGGACUGGCAGAGCGUGUGUGUGUGUGUGUGUGUGUGUGUGUGUGUGUGUGUGUGUGUGUGUGUGUGUGUGUGUGUGUGUGUGUGUGUGUGUGUGUGUGUGUGUGUGGGUGUGUGUGUG